CCGAGACUCCAACCCCCUCUCUGCUUUCGUUUUCCCCUUGUUGUUCACGUACCCUAGCAGCCGCCUCAACUCCCGCCAUUCAGACCAAGCUGCAUGAUAUCGUCGACGCUGUCAAGCCACCUUCUCUAACCGUCGACCAAGCCAGCAGCAUCCAUCCGCCCAAUUUGUUCGUCCGGCCCUCACGCCAGCUUGCCUGUCGAGUAGAGUCGUCCCGAUAUGUUCACCCAACCCUCACACCAGAUCACCUGCCGAGUGGAGUCAUCCAGCCACGCGCCGUCGCUCGGGUUUUAGCCUCCGUGAGGCCAUUCAACACCCCAGCCAACCGUCCACGUUCAGCCGUCGAAGUUUUUGCCACCGUCGAAGCCUCAGCCAUCAUUUGAGUUCGUCGACUGCCAAUGCGUAAUCUCAAGGGAAUCUUGAGUUUUGAGGAUUUUGGAGGUUGGACUUGAUAGUUUGAAGGAGUUUAAGAGACUUUUGGCAUGUCGACAUGCAAAGUUGAGGUGAUUUUGGCGAGGAUUUUGGAGGAAAUUCCAAGAUUUUGUAGAUUAGAAGGGUGUUGGUUGCUCGAAUAAUUGUUUGGGCUUAAAUUCAACAUUUGGAGGUGAAUUCGAAUCAGACCACACCUUAGGCUUGAUUAAGGAUUCGAGAAUUUCGCAAAGAUUCAAUUGCUUUUUGGUUCGACC